UUUUUUCUGAGAUAUUUAGCAAACAUCUUAGCAGAAGUCCUCUGAUCUUAAUUUCUUCAAACAAAUUGGUCGAGGUACUCGUCCACAGUUGUGUACUUAACAUCAGGGUAGAGCUGAUAAGCCUCGACUCCAAACGACGGCUCGAUUUCGAAGUUGGUCUUAUCUCCCUUCACAUACACUGAGUGGUUGAUUGCUAAUAUCACAUUGAUUGGAAUUGGGGCCUCCGCAAAAUUAAACAACAAAUGUUAGUUAACCAAAUCAUGAUUACAGUUAAGUUGAAAAUGCACGAUUAAGUAAUGCAGGAGGCUUAUAGCACGGUUGAUUAACAGCAUUCGCUCAUGUACUCCACAUCCCGAGUUUGAAUUCCUUCCUUUCUAUCGUUUGUAUAAAAAAAAUGCAUGAUUAAUUACUGACCUUCAAUACCCUUGAGAACUUUGUCCUAUGGGACAUAGACUUUUUCAAGGACUUUGUCAAUCUUUUUCUCCCACAGGGCAACAAGCUGAUUGAAUGAGUAGAUGUCCUGGGGAGGUCUCAGGUAGAGGAUCUUGUUCAAUGUUCUUGGAUCAUCAACGGCCCUGAUUGUAUAGGUUCCAAUGUCAUCUUCCUUGUUAAAGACAGCUGCAACAUUAACAAAAGAUACGGAGCAUGUUUGAGACUGCUUCAGAAAUGGCUCAAAGCGGUUGCAGACAACUAAAAGCGUUUAUAGAACUAUUUAAUAUAAAACACGUAAAAUACCUUCGGAUCGUAAAACCAUUUUUAGUAGUGUCUAAAGAGGCACCUAACAAGUACUUCUUCAAGAACAACUUCCAGGUGCCUUUUGCAGAAACUAAAUUAAUUACUAAUAUUGUUUAUGAACAUAAUUGCUUUCUACUGAAAUUAACGUAAGUGGUACCUUUUUUGUUUCCAUCCCCUACGACGAUGACUUUGUCUCUGGGUGGAGAAGUGGCACCUGGCUGUGACAAUGAGGGCAGAAAGUAGACAGCAAAGCAGUUGCUGGAGACAUAAGUGUAGGGGAUACCCUCAGCCUCAAUAGCACGCCGGAUUUGGACCUUGACGUCAAACGUAGACUUGGCUGGCUCAACUGCGUGCAAUCGAUCCACAUCGUUUGCAAACUCCGUCGGGAAAAAUCUCUGCAUAAAAUAUAGGCUUAGUUAUUAUUAAUCCUCAGCAAAACUUGUUGGACUGUCUGAUAAUUCUAAAUCUUUAGUUAAUUUUCAUGUAAAUUUUCACUAACGUUCUUAUCGACACUAUCAAAAUCUGUGGGAUCUAAAUAGUGAUAGUAUCAAUAAUAAAGACGAGAUAUGGAUGGUAUGUAGAAUUAUUAGAGAGACUGGCCAAAGGUUCACUUUCAAUAACAUGAUAUUUUCCCCAACUUGGUAAUUAUCACAUACACAAUCUGUUAGGAAUGAGUUUUUAUCACAAAAUAACUCGGUAUUAGUUGGAGUAGGGUUAGGACAUUUAAACUUUCUUUUUUCAUAGAUACGAUCGAUGUAUGAUAUUUCAACAUGAUAAGUAUCAUAUUGAUAUUAGAUAGUGAAACAUGUCAUUUGAUCAGACAGCUUGAAUGAAGAUUAUCUAGUUUAUUAGAGACACUAACCUUGACAUUGCCAGCUUCUUUGAUGGCUGCAAUGAUCUUGGUUUGGUCUGCAGUUUGCAGGAAACCCACUGUCGAUAUCACAACGUAUCCCUGUUUGAUCGCUUUCACCAAACUCUCAUGGUCAUAAAGAUCGCCCUGCAUAUUAAUCACCAUAAUUGACCAAGUAACAUAACAUAAUUAAUUAAAUUAAACACAAAGGGUACUGUUUGCAGAUGGUUGUUAUUUGCUAAGGCAACUACAAAGGGUGCUAGGAAUGAUUUUCAAUUUUUCAGGUUCUAAAUAUGUUUGCCAAGGCUUCCGGUCAACAUGUAAAUUUUCAUAAAUCUUCGCUUUAUUUCUCAGGCAAUACUAACACUCAAGCUAGAAAUGAUAUUGUGAAUGUUUUACAUAUUCAACAUAAAACAACCAUCGCUAAAUAUUUGGACAUUCAUAAUAUUGUGUUUUGGAAAGAUCCAACGAAUGAAUGUGAAUUAAUCAAAAUAGUUAAGCAAAAGCUUGGUGGGUGGAAGGCUAAUACUCUCUCUAAGGCAGGAAGGUUAACUUUCAUUAUGUCCAACUUAAUUGGUAUACUGGAUUAUAGUAUGUCUUACUUUAAAUGUCCCAUUUGUGUAACUGAGAAUUUAAACAAAGAGGGUAGCGACUUCUUCUAGGAGAGAUAGAAAGUUAAAACCUAUGGCUUGAAAAAAAGAGUGUAUUUCUAAGGAUCAAAAGGCUGGGUAUUAGAAAAGUGGAUCAUUUCAAUAAUGCAUGUCUGGCUAAGUUAGGAUGGAAAGUUUUAAAAGACGAAAAUUGGUGGUGCAGGUUGUUAAAAUAAAUAAAAUAAAGUACUUAAAGGAAGAUGAUUUUUUGAGUUGCAAAGUUAAGCAGAAUCACUCUUUGGCCUGGAAAUAAAUUUUAAAUAGUAGACAUUUUAUUCACAGGGGAAUUAGAUCGAUCAUGGGUAAUAAAAAAAGAUAUCCUUUUUUGGAUCCAUCAUUAGGUUUUUCCGUAUCCACUUUUUCAGCUGAUUCCUAUAAAUCAACAAUAGAACAUAAAUUGGAAGAAGCGAGCUAGUGAGUUUAUUGAAUAAUAAGAGUUGGGAUAGAGGUUGACUCUCUCGAGUAUUGAACUUGGAUAUUGUAAGAAAAAAUUGUUAUGGUGCCUAUUCCCCUUCAAAAUAAAAGUGAUUACUUCGUGUGGAUCAUUCCUCUACUGUUGAAAUCUCAAGUAAGUCAACAGCUAGGAUUUAGAGCAAUAAUAACCAAAAAGUUAGAAUCCUAAACUCCUUAAGAAGAUAUGGAAGUUAGCAAUUCCUCCCAAGGUAAAAUUUUUUUUUACUUUGUCUUCUUAUUCAUGAAAAACUUCAUACUAAGAUGUGAUUGAGUAAAGUUUAUUCAGAAUAUGGAAAAACCAUGCCCUAUGGGUGGCAAUGAUGAUGAGACUUAAAAUCACUUAUUUCUUAAGUGCGAGCAUGCUAAAAAAAUGUGGAACCUUUCUCUGGUGAGUUCUUGGAAGAAUAAUUUGACUUAGUUUAAUAAUAUUUUGGAAUGGAUGGAAUUGAUUGACACUGCUGAGUGCAAUGAUUUGAGUGAUCUUAGUAAAAGUAAAACUCUUCUGAAUUGCUGGCAAAUUCGGAAUGAUAUAAAUAAUAAAGUGUUUAGAAGGAUGAAUCCUAGUUUGGCUAGGAGUAUCUCCAUUGCCACAAGUGUAGGAUUACCAUAAUUUAAGGUUAAUUAUAAGAAGACCUCUAGGGGUGAUCAUUGCCACUAACACCUCAUUUGAUGGCGUCCUCCUUCUCAUGGCUACAUAAAAUUAAACUUUGAUGGAUCGAUUAGUUUGGAAAGAGUUGCAACUGCUUUUGUUCUUAGAAAUGAGGAUGGGCAACUGGUUGGUGCUGGUGCGUUGAACAUUGGUGGUGCCACCAUUUCGGUUAUGGAGAAUGUUGCUGCUUUUGUCCAGGCGCAUAGAUGUGAAGAAAUUGUUGGUGAAAGGGUUCUAAGUUGGUCAUGCAGGUGGUGCAUGGUGUUUGUAUGCCCCCUUGGCAUCUUAGACCUAUCAUCAAGGAUAUCAAAUGGUUAACUUCUGAUUUCAGCAUAUCAGUUGGAAGCAUAUCUUUAGGAAGACAAAUUUUCUGGCUAACGCGUUAACUCGUGUGGCUCUCACUAACCCUCAUUUCUGGGAUUAUUGUCUUUCAGUGUCGGCCAUGGAUGCCUUUAAUUUUGAUUUUAUGGAAAACCAUUGUAUUAGAGGUUUUAAGCUUUACUAAAAAAUUUCAUCUAAAAAAAAUUCCAUUAACUUUUCUUAAACCCGUUGGAUUCGGCUUAAAUUUAAUAAGGACGGCUCACAGCAGAUCAGCUCAACCGAGCUUGGGUGAAAUCGAGUGAUAAAUGACUCGUCGUUAAUGUCUCCUUCUCUCUCUCUGUGCCCCUCCUUCUUUCUCUCUCCUCUCUCUGCUUCUCUUGAUCACUCUCUUGCAGACAGAUCACAAACCACCACCAGCCCUACUCCAUCCUUGUUGUCACGUCACAGACCAUCACCACAAUCUGACCACCACCGAUAGCCCAGCCCAACUUCCUUCCUAUCUCCUCCAAACUGUGUACUUUUGACACUCGAUAAGUUUUUUAUCUUUUAAGUACUCAUUGUUAUGGUCCUAAUAAUGCAUUAUAUAUGUUUAUUUGCUUAAGUUUCACAUAGUGUCAAGCUCACGCUCGUUGGAUCCUAUAAAUGCUGAAAACAGUCAUCUUCCAUGUCCCAUCUACCUCUUCCAAAACCCAGAAAACUCAACAAAAUCAAAUCCCUAGACCAACAAAAGCAAAACACACCCCCAAAAUUGGAUAAAGAUUGUGCAAUAACAAUUGUUGCCCCAACCGUAAUAAUCUCUGUAUCUGAAAAGUCAUCCCCCAAUUGCACUAGUCGACUAUGGCUUCCACCUCCGCCGGCCGUGACUGCGGCAAAGCUAAAUUCCGACUACGAAUAAAAAACAAGAAGAGAAAAACAUAUGAAGAGAUACUUUGUAUAAGGAUGUUUGAUUAUAAUAGCUCUCACACCAAGUACUAUUAGUGUAGAGUCGGAUGAGACCAAAAUAUAAAUGAUCUCAUAAAAGGUAAUGCGCGGAUUAUAUGCUUAGACGAUUUAGCAAGUCAUGAGUUCAUGAUGGUUAGCCUAGCGAGAGAUUUUGGAUGCAGCCGAGGAUAUAUUUCUGUAUCUCAAUGCAUCAUCACGGUUGUACGUUAGAAUCUCCCAGUCUAAAUCAUAACCAGCCACAAAUGUGCAGGAAAAACAUAGAAAUUACAUUAAGAGACUAUAAAUUUUGUUCUCAUCACAAACACUAAUCCGCUCAAACAACAUUAACAGCAUUUAAACUUAUUUUUUCUGAGAUAUUUAGCAAACAUCUUAGCGAAAGUCCUGUGAUCUUAAUUUCUUCAAACAAAUUGAUCAAGGUACUCGUCCACAGUUGUGUACUUCACGUCAGGGUAGAGCUCAUAAGCCUCGACUCCAAAAGACGGCUCGAUUUCGAACUUGGUCUGAUCUCCGUUCACAAACACUGAGUGGUUGAUUGCUAAUAUCACAUUGAUUGGAAUUGGGGCCGCUGCAAAAUUAAACAACAUAUGUUAAUUAACCAAAUCUUGAUUAAAGUUAAGUUAAACGCAGUAAAGUUGAACCAUGCAUGAUUAGUUACUGCAUGAGAGGCUUAUAGCACGGUUGAUUAAGAGCAUUCGCUCAUGCACUCGAGAUCCCGAGUUUGAACUCCUUCCUGUUCUCUAUCGUUUGUAUAAAAAAUGCAUGAUUAAUUACUGACCUUCAAUAUCCUUGAGAAGUUUGUCCUCUGGGACAUAGACUUUUUCAAGGACUUUGCCAAUCUUCUUCUCCCACAGAGCAACAAGCUCAUUGAAUGAGUAGAUGUUCUGGGGAGGCUUCAGGAAGAGGACCUUGUUCAAUGUUCUUGGAUCAUCAACGGCCCUGAUUGUAUAGGUUCCUAUGUUCUCUUCCUUGUUAAAGACAGCUGAAACAUUAACAGGAGAUACAUAGCAUGUUUGAGACUGCUUCUGAAAUGGCUCAAAACGGUUGUAGACAACUAAAAGCAUUUCUAGCACUAAUUAAUAUAAAACACUUAAAAAGCUUAUGGAUCGUAAAACCAUUUUUAGUAUUGUCUAAGGAGGCACCUAACAGGUACUUCUUCAAGAAGAACUUCUAGGUGCCUUUUCAGGAACAACUUGGUUAAUUACUAAUAUCGCUUCUGAACGUAAGUGUUUUUUCUUCUGAAAUUAACGUGAGCGGUACCUUUGGGAUUUCCAUCCCCUAAGAUGGUGACUUUGUCUCUGGGUGGAGAAGUGGCACCUGGCUGUGCCAAUGACGGCAGAAAGUAGCCAGCAAAGCAGUUGCUGGAGACAUAAGUGUGGGGGAUGCCCUCAGCCUCAAUAGCACGCCGGAUUUGGACCUUGGCGUCAAACGAAGAUUUGGCUGGCUCAACUGCAUUCACUCGAUCCACAUCGUUUCCAAACUCCGACGGGAAAAAUCUCUGCAUAAAAUAUAGGCUAAGUUACUAUUAAUCUCCAUAAUUGAACAAAACUUGAGUCGGACUGUCUGAUAAUUCUACAGUCUUAAAUUAAUUUUCAUGUACUUUCACUAAAAAUCUUAUUGGUACCAUGUCAAUAUCUAAGGGGCCUAAGUGUUGACAUUAUCAAAUAAUAAAGAUAUGUGGAUGGUAGGUAAAAUGUCGAUAUUAGAUAGUCAAACAUGUCCCGUGAUCAGACAGCCUAAUCGAAGAUUUCUUGGUUAAUUAGAGACACUAACCUUAAUAUUGCCAGCUUCUUUGAUGGCUGCAAUGAUCUUGGUUUGGUCUGCAGUUUGCAGGAAACCCACCGUCGAUAUCACAACGUCCACCUUUGAUCGCCUUCACCAAACUCUCAUGGUUAUAAAGAUCUCCCUGCAUAUUAAUCACCGUAAUUAACCAAGUAACAUAACAUAAUUAAAUAAAUUAAACACAAAGGGAGAUUAAUAUGUAAUUAAACACUAAGAGAGAUUAAUAUGCAAUUAAACGGUAAGAGAGAUUAAUAUG
rnacentral:lncRNA from 1 species